rnacentral:rRNA from 1 species
UACGAAGGGGGCUAGCGUUGCUCGGAAUCACUGGGCGUAAAGCGCACGUAGGCGGAUUGUUAAGUCAGGGGUGAAAUCCUGGAGCUCAACUCCAGAACUGCCUUUGAUACUGGCGAUCUCGAGUCCGGGAGAGGUGAGUGGAACUGCGAGUGUAGAGGUGAAAUUCGUAGAUAUUCGCAAGAACACCAGUGGCGAAGGCGGCUCACUGGCCCGGUACUGACGCUGAGACGCGAAAGCGUGGGGAGCGAACAGC